rnacentral:lncRNA from 1 species
GUGCUGGCCGUGCCCGUGAAAGUGACCGACAGGUUCGGGAUCUGGACCGGGGAGUACAAGUGCGAGAUCGAGCUGCACCAGGGGGAGGGCGGAGUGAGGCACCUGCCUGGGGCCUUCUUCUUGGGAGCGGAGAGGGGCUACAGCUGGUACAAGGGGCAGCCCAAGACGUACUUUAAGAGUGGUUCCCGGACCCACAUGAGCGGCACCUGCAUGCAGGACAGGUGUUUCAGGUGAGGGGAAGAGGGGAAUCUGAGCCCUUACUGCCGGAAGGUCAUCGAGUGCAACCUCUGUGGCAAAAGAGGACACGCCUUUGCCCAGUGUCCCAAAGCAGUUCACAAUUCCAUGACAGCUCCGUAGCCCGGCACUGA